AUAAAAAGAACCGACACUACAGUCUAAUACAUUAAUAAGAUAUCGUACAAUAUCAUCGACUAGCAGAAGCCGGUGAAAAUUAUGAAGAGCAGGAAGAAACCUGCCCUCACUGAAUUUUACCCAGUCAAUGACAAUCCUAAGUACUUAAUAAUACAUAAAAAGCAACAAAUUGUCUAGAGUCGUUGCAAACGAUAAGCUACAACAUCCCGGUGUUGGGCUCCGGGUGAUGACAUGAUUUAUAAUACUAGAUUCCAUAAGUUAUCCUUUCAGAGGGUGUACCAGAUGUCCAAAACCUUGCUGCUCCUAUCUUCAACUACCGAUCUGCUCGAUACGGUGUUGACUAGUGAACUCCAUUUCGGUAACCAUGACAACUAGUAAAAAUACCCUCUACAGUUCAAUGACCCACAUAAGCAUUUCUUCCUCCUUCGAUCUGCUUUGUCUGGUGGAACCAUGCCAUAGUCAAAAGUCAAUUCUUGCAUGGGAGGAAUAUGUCUAAUGGCAAAAAAAGCAACAUGGUAGAAUGUCUCAUUGUUGAUUUCACGUACAACAAGCUGCCAGUAAACGUUAGGUGAACAACUGUGGUUCAUAAAACGAGCCACAUUGCCACCUUUUUUUGCACUUAUUACAAGGGGAUAUGGAACCUUUUUGGAUUCAUCAUUAUAAUCACGCACAGCUUCCAAUGGUUCAUACAUGCGGGUAGCAUCAAAUAUAUAAUCAUCGUCACCAUCAUUGCCAAACUCACCUACCCUAGAUUCCUCAAUGACUUCUCCAGCAUAUUCACAAACAAAGCCACCUCCACGUAUGGGAUCCCAAGAUCUAAGUCCCCAACCUCUAUUUUUUGUUUUAAAGACCUCCACACGGGCUUUAGGACCUGCUUGAGUGAUACGAUUUCGGCAGUUCGGAGGGCAUGAACAGGCAGAACCACACUCAUAUACCAAGGUUUUGUAACUCAUGAGAACUCCAAGUGGAUUAAAGGGCAAAUAGCCUCCAUUUUUCUGAAUGCAAGGACAACUGGUUCCACCAGGUUGACAUCCACCAAGACAUUGACAGCCAACAGAUGGAUUAGACUUCAUGAAAGGUUUUGAGUACUUCAGACUUGGGAUAUAUGUGAAAUAAGCAGGUCCCUUCUCAUCAUCAACAUCAUUUACGAGACAAACAGGUUGACUCUCUGCACCAGAUGUUAGGUCGGGUAGGAUAACUCCAACUCGUGUCGCCGUUCCCUCUCUCCACUGUUGAACUGAUUUCCACAAUGUAUAUGCUUCAGGCUGCCCAGGAACCCUAAUCAAUUUGUACCUGAAAAUACUGCAAUUGCCCAAUUUGCUUUUCUCUGCCCAUGACUCCUGGACCCUAUAAAGUCCAUCAUACAUGUAGAUCUUCCCCCUCCCCCCAUUUUGAACAUCUACAACACCCCUAAUUACUCUCACCUCAUUGCCACGAUGCAUGCUCUUUUCUAAAGCAAGAUUUCCCCUCUCAAGUUUCUGAUCAAACAUUUGGCCAUCCCUCCUCUGAACUCCACCCUGGCCAGUAUAAAUUAGCACCUCCCCGUCAUCCCCUUCAUCAUCGUACCCUCCAGAGGACACUAUGCUAACAGCAAUAGGUUCCUCAUCCCCUGUAAGUCUGACACUCAUAUAAUCUAUCCCUGCCAUACUGGGUGCGUGUAAACCAACCAGGCACAAUUCCAUCCUGAAGAAGAAGAUGUCACCAACUUCAACCCCGGGUACAUUUCCAAUUCUCUUUGUUUGAUUUGUUCGAGCUCCCCUUGUCAUCAGCAAAUUAGCACCCUUCAGAUCUGGCCUUCUUGCAGAACCUGGAGUCUCACCCCUUCUCUCUUCAAUCUGGGUCAUCCUUCUACGAAACAAAUCAUAAACCAGUAGAAUUCUCCCAGAUAGCUCCUUGUCACCAUCAGCUUUCUUAACCUGAUCGAUCUCAACGAGUUUGAAGGACGCAAGCAGCUGAUUUAAUAGUGGAUCGACAUCUACUUCGAUUGGGGGAGUAGCUGGAUUACCUGAGCUUGGCUGCCCUAACCGAGUCUUUCUCGGUCUUCCCCUUUUUUUUCCUGUACUGGUGUCUUCAACAUCAUUAGCAUGUCCACUGUAGCCACUACCGAAUUGAUCACUGUGAUUCUGUGAAUCAUCAUCUUCUGCAGCUAAGCCAUUCGAAGCACGAGGUCUACCGGGCCUCCUUGGCCCGGUGUCUCCAUUCGCAGCAGGAGUUCUGAAUGAAUUUAAAGGAACCGGAGAUAUAGGCGUCCCAAAACCUAAACCAUCCUGAUUUUCAGCUGAUCUACCAGACUCAUUCGGGGACAAAAAAGGAUAAAAAGGAGAAACCCCAGGGGGAAAAGGACCACUUGGAGGAACACACACAAAAGGUGAGGGUUGAGGAGUUGUACCAGAUGCCAUUCCAUUUGGGGAUGGAAAUACAGGGACAAGACAUCUCAAAGGCUUCACAUCCAAAACCUUAGACUUGUCAAUGGGUCCUGCUGGCGGAACAGAGUCUGAACCAAAGCCUUGCUCCAUUUCAAUAGAAAACCAACAACCACAACAACAAGAUCACCACUUCCACUCACAUGAAUAACCCAAAUUCAAAGGUCAGCACUUCUCCCAAUGAACACUUAGAUCCAUGCACAAUCUCCAAUUUCCUGAAGAAUUGAGGAAAACGAUCUUAAAGGAAGAUAGAGUCGAGCGAGGAAAAAUUUUUGU
rnacentral:misc_RNA from 1 species